AAGGCCACAACGGCAAUAUGGGUUGCUGCUCACCGUCGCGCCGCCACCUUCUCUGACUGUGAUGGCCACCAAAGGAUUGACGCCAAUGAUCCUCAACAGCCACCUUCUACCCAUUUGCCGCUGAUAUAGAUGUUUUUUAAUUGCUUGAAAAACUGCAACAUAACCCACUAUACAUCAGUGUUUGCUUGCUCUAAACUUUUAGUUCUCCAUCUGGUUCUUCAGUUAUGUUGAUUGCAGACAAACAGCUGUCAAUUUCAUGUGGCCCAAAAGGGCCCCUUCUCGUGCGGUUACAUCACACGCAAGGAGGAGUAGAGGAAGUAUGUAGGUAUGUACGAGUAAGAAUCUUUUCCCAUGCAUAAUUAGUACUCCAAAGGUUAUGGAUAUUUUCAGUGUACGCCAUGUGCGAUUUUAUCAGUACACACCCUUAAAAAAUUCAUGUUGUGUAUGUUUGUUCUUUUCAGUGUAUUUGCAAGAUAGUAAAAAUAAUUUAUUGUGCAGGUUGCACUUCUAUUAAGAAACUAUCAGCGUGAACCGCUGGACUUAAACUGCCAAAUAUGUUCUUGAUCACCAACAGGUAUAUUGCUCUCCUUAUACACACAUAUGUUGCUGUUUUUUAUUAAAAAUAAAAUCCAUCGUCCUGAUAGCAAACGGUAUUUAGUUUUCUAGACACUUUAUGUGUAAUUUGUCCUAGGUAUUUGAUAGUUGUGAUCUUCAAGCCAUUUCAACAAAAUCUAAAAAGUGGGAACUGGUGUUUUGGAAGCAAAAUACAAAGCAACUAAGACGAAACAAAAGACUUAGCAACAAAAUCUAUAGUGGAAACUGAUAUUCAAGCCAUUUCAUCUGUUAUUGGUUAUUGAUUGUUCAGUGACCAAACUGCCGUUAGUUAAUUCUGAUUUUGAUUAUAGCUCAUAACAACUUAAAGACGUCGUAAUAUAAAUAUAGCAAAUAUUAUGGUAUAUUUCCUACAGAGGUUAAGCAGAGCUGAUCUAAAGAAUUCAGAUAACUCUGUGCAACAGUGUGAAACUAUUUGAAGUACAUUUUUCUCUUAUAUAAAACCAACCAAAGGAGGAGUGAGUCCAUUAGGUUUUUCUGUGAUAAAAAGACUGUAGACAACUUCAUGAGAAAAAAAUGGCAGCUUUAUCUUGACGAUUACAGUUUCCAGUCUAGCUCAGGUGUUUCAUGGAUUCUGAAAUAUCUAUUCUUGAACCCUACUGAAGUGGCCUUCUUUCUGAGGAAAAUAGUUCACGAAUGGAUUACUUGGAAGGCAAAACUUUACAGUUCCUUCCAAGUGAAAUUACUUGCAAAAUACAGAAUUCAGGAGAUAUUAUUCCAGAUUCUGAAAACCAUGCUUCAAUCAUGUAACCACUAUCUAUUUCCACCAUUGAAACUUCUCUGCUAUUUUCUUUAGAGGCAUAUGGGACCUCUGAAAUCAAUGAAACUUGACUAUCAUGAUAUAUUUCUUCACUGAUUCUUUUUUAUCAUGGAACUUAACUAUCCAGUGUGUGUAGUGGCAAAUAGAUGCUUAAUGGUACUGCUACAUGAUUAGGAUAGCAACAUAAUUAGGCUUCUUACCUGCAGUAGAUACAUCCAAGAGUAUACAACAACCAGGAGUACUUCAGACUCCUUUUCAGAACCAUCUAAUGCUUUUUGCUUGGUUGUAAUGGAUCGUCGUUUAACAAAAACACGUGCAGAAAAUCUCUUGUCAACUGAUAGAUCCCUGAACUUGAGAUAUUGGGAAAACACUUGUAGAAACUCUUUAGAUCUGGAGAAGAGAAAUGAAGAGCUCUAUAGCUGAACAAGGAUC
rnacentral:lncRNA from 1 species